UAUAUACUCCCUCCGUCCGGAAAUACUUGUCAUCAAAAUGGAUAAAAGGAGAUGUAUCUAGACGUAUUUUAAUUUUAGAUACAUCCCUUUUUAUCCAUUUUAAUGACAAGUAUUUUCGGACGGAGGGAGUAUUAU
rnacentral:pre_miRNA from 1 species